GUCCACGCCGUAAACGAUGGAUACUAGCUGUUGGGGCAACUUCAGUGGCUAAGCGAAAGUGAUAAGUAUCCCACCUGGGGAGUACGUUCGCAAGAAUGAAACUCAAAGUAAUUGACGGGGGCCCGCACAAGCGGUGGAGCAUGUGGUUUAAUUCGAUGAUACGCGAGGAACCUUACCAAGGCUUAAAUGUAGAUUGACCGGUUUGGAAACAGAUCUUUCGCAAGACAAUUUACAAGGUGCUGCAUGGUUGUCGU
rnacentral:rRNA from 1 species